rnacentral:rRNA from 1 species
UGGGGAAUAUUGGACAAUGGGCGAAAGCCUGAUCCAGCCAUGCCGCGUGUGUGAAGAAGGUCUUCGGAUUGUAAAGCACUUUAAGUUGGGAGGAAGGGCAGUAAGCGAAUACCUUGCUGUUUUGACGUUACCGACAGAAUAAGCACCGGCUAACUCUGUGCCAGCAGCCGCGGUAAUACAGAGGGUGCAAGCGUUAAUCGGAAUUACUGGGCGUAAAGCGCGCGUAGGUGGUUCGUUAAGUUGAAUGUGAAAGCCCCGGGCUCAACCUGGGAACUGCAUCCAAGACUGGCGAGCUAGAGUAGGGCAGAGGGUGGUGGAAUUUCCUGUGUAGCGGUGAAAUGCGUAGAUAUAGGAAGGAAAACCAGUGGCGAAGGCGACCACCUGGGCUCAUACUGACACUGAGGUGCGAAAGCGUGGGGAGCAAACAGG